rnacentral:rRNA from 1 species
UACAUGGGGUGCAAACGUUGCUCGGAAUUAUUGGGCGUAAAGCGCGCGUAGGCGGUUACUUAAGUCGGAUGUGAAAGCCCUCGGCUUAACUGAGGAAGUGCAUCCGAAACUGAGUAGCUAGAGUACGAAAGAGGGUCGCGGAAUUCCCGGUGUAGAGGUGAAAUUCGUAGAUAUCGGGAGGAACACCGGUGGCGAAGGCGGCGACCUGGGUCGAGACUGACGCUGAGGUGCGAAAGCGUGGGGAGCAAACAGG